CAGCAGCCACGGUAAUACGUAGGUGGCAAGCGUUGUCCGGAAUUAUUGGGCGUAAAGCGCGCGCAGGUGGUUUAAUAAGUCUGAUGUGAAAGCCCACGGCUCAACCGUGGAGGGUCAUUGGAAACUGUUAAACUUGAGUGCAGGAGAGAAAAGUGGAAUUCCUAGUGUAGCGGUGAAAUGCGUAGAGAUUAGGAGGAACACCAGGGGCGAAGGCGGCUUUUUGGCCUGUAACUGACACUGAGGCGCGAAAGCGUGGGGAGCAAACAGGAUUAGAUACCCCUGUAGUCCCUGUCUCUUAUAC
rnacentral:rRNA from 1 species